GUGCCAGCAGCCGCGGUUAAUUCCAGCUCCGCAAGUGUAUAUCUAUUUUGCUGAGUUUAAAAAGCUCGUAGUUGGAUCUGCGUGUUCAGCAUCUGGUGCGGUCUUUGGCCACUACUGGAAUGCGACACAUCGAAUGUCGGUUUGCCGUUGAUGCUCUUAACCGGGUGUGAGCGGUGGCUGAUGAGUUUACUUUGAACAAAUUAGAGUGCUCAACGCAGGCGUUUCGCUUGUAUAUUUCUGCAUGGAAUAAUAGAAUAGGACCUCGGUUCUAUUUUGUUGGUUUUCGGAAGGGAGGUAAUGAUUAAGAGGGACUGACGGGGGCAUUCGUACUGCGACGUGAGAGGUGAAAUUCUUGGAUCGUCGCAAGACGCACUACUGCGAAGGCAUUUGCCAAGAAUGUUUUCAUUAAUCAAGAACGAAAGUAACGGGUUCGAAGGCGAUCAGAUACCGCCCUAGUCGUUACCGUAAACAAUAUUGACUGGGAGCAUGUCGGAGUUUCCAAGAACCCGAUAUGAACCCGCAGGGAAACCAGAAGUCAAUUACUGGGGGAGUACGAUUGCAAAUUCGAAACUUAAAGGAAUUGACGGAAGGGCACCACCAGGGGUGGAGCCUGCGGCUUAAUUUGACUCAACACGGGGAAACUCACCCGGCCCGGACACCGGAAGGAUUGACAGAUUGAGAGCUCUUUCUUGAUUCGGUGGGUGGUGGUGCAUGGCCGUUCUUAGUUGGUGGAGUGAUUUGUCUGGUUAAUUCCGAUAACGAACGAGACUCUGGCCUACUAAAUAGUCGUCGGAUCGCUUUAGUCCGACUGACUUCUUAGGGGGACAAGCAGUGCUUAGCUGCAUGAAAAAGAGCAAUAACAGGUCUGUGAUGCCC
rnacentral:rRNA from 1 species